AACUAUUAAAUACAUUAUUCAAGGAAGCAAAUGUUCAUAGAAAAAGAUGAAUGAACUUUCAUUAAUACAGACAAAAUUUAUUUACAUAGAAACAUCUGUUAGCCAUAUUGGUUUGUGUGAUUACAAUAACUAGCCAAAAUUGAAAUUUUGUAGAUUUUAUUAUUUUAUAAAUAAUAAUCGAGUUCAGCAACUUGAAACAUUGUUUUUGGGAAACCUUUUGAAUAAACUUAGACCUUAAUUUGUAAUUUCAUUUGAAAUACAUAAGUGGUGCCAUAUGACUUUAUCAGCUAGUAAUAUUAACGAACUGCUGAGGUGGCUUAAAAUAGGAAUGUGACUUGUGAAAUCUUCAGCUCAAUGUUAAAUUUUCUGAAAUGUUUACAUUGUUAAUCAAUAAGGCUUUUAAUUUUUUAAGAAAUGUAAGUUUUUAAAAGUGUUAUGUUUUAAGUUGUCUCAUUUUUUGAAUGGUCUUUCUAAGCAGUGAUAUUAAUGUGUGAUUAUUAUGUCAAACCAAAUGUUGUUGAUGUUGUUACCAUUGUGCCAGUAUAUAUAUCCUACACAAAAAUUAAUAUGUUUUGAUGUGCAUUUGUUAACAUAUUUUUCCACAAGAGGCUGAAUAAUAUUGAAAAAUAGAAAAACAGAAACAGAAGUUGUUAUUAUUAUUGAUUUUAAGCCUAAAACAAGAAGUACUUUGUUUGAUAUUAAUUUUGGAAACUGAAACAUGGUAAAGCACUAAAGAUAUAUAUACAACAUUGAAAAAUAAUACAAAACGCCAUGUAAAAAUUUACAUUUUGGUCAUAGUAGAAAAUAAAUACCAUAUCUUAAAAUCUUUGCUGCGUUUUGUUGUGCUGAGGGAUAUUACUGUUUUUAGUUUAUAUUUCAAAAUUUUGGUAUAGAUUUCCACCUUUCAAAGAUCUUAUUGACUUUGAAAUUCUCACAGUUGAAACAGAAUUUGUACAUUAAUUUAAUAUAGGUGAACAACUAAACUAUUAUUUUCAUUGAUAUUCAGUGGCGAAAUGGGACCAAAAUGAAAAAUAUUCCUUUUGUCACAUCUUUAGAUCCUACUUGUAUAUUUUCAAUAUUUUCAAAAUCCUGAUUUUUUAUUGAAUAUUUAUGCUGUUAAAAUGAAUCUCAUCCAUGUUCAUUGCAUCAUAACUUAAUUUAUUCGUCAAAAAUGUGAUCUUGCAUUAUUGUUGCAAUAUUUUUCAUUGACUUUUUGUGUUUAUUUAGUCAUAAUGCAUGCUACAUUAUACAUGUUUUUGGGGCUAAUGCUUGAUACAUAGCAUGUAAGUUAUAAGCCUUACCAAUUGAUUUGGUUAUUUGAUAUAAGAAGUUUUAUUCAAUGUUAAGGAAAUCUGUUUUUUCUUGAAAAAUUAUUUGUUUACCUAAUUAUUUGAACAUGGAUUAUCAUAGGUCUACCACCUGACAUGAUUUCAGGGAUACUAGUACAUCGUACCCUUUUUUUAAAAUUUGUAAAAGUAAUACUAGUACUUUCCUUGGGCUGAAACUAAUUUAGAAAAAAUAUAUUUGACAUGGAUUCAAAUCUAGAUAAAGUAUGUUAGCUUUUGGUUAAACAAUAAGAGUUGUAUCAUUUAGUUUGAUUAACACACCACCCUCUUCUUAAUUUGACCAGCUUAUACUUUCUGAUUUUAAAUUUGUUUUCAAAGUUUGAAGUGAACAAAAUUUCAAUUUUGUUUUUCCUAAUUUUUAUACUCUGAGAAAUAAAGAUAAUCUGCCAUAGUCCGCAAAGUUAAAAUAGUUUAUUAUGUGCCAAUCAAACGUGCUUUCCUUCAAAUCAAGCAGAUUCACUGAGUGGAUACAGUACUUUUUAAGUUGUUGACCUGCAAGUUCUUGUACAAAAUGUGUUUUUCAUGGGUAGGUUAAAUCAUCCUUAUUUAGACCCUUGACACAUUAUUCAUAACUGGGUAAAUAUAGAACUAUAAUGACCUUUUCAUAUAUAUAUGAAAUAAAGUGUUCCCACAUACCAUUAGGACAUAAUUCAUCCUUUGUAUGUACAGUGUGAAUAUUUCGUACAGUGUACAACCAUACCAACUUGUUAAAUCAUAUCUUGUACCUUGUAAGUGUAUGGAUAUUCUGUUAUGAUAUAAAUUUCAUAGAAUGUGAAAAAAACUAUAAUGUGCCUGUUAAAGAACAAAAUAAAAAGAUGCUAAACUA
rnacentral:lncRNA from 1 species